rnacentral:rRNA from 1 species
CCUACGGGUGACAGCAGUGAGGAAUAUUGGUCAAUGGACGAGAGUCUGAACCAGCCAAGUAGCGUGAAGGAUGACUGCCCUAUGGGUUGUAAACUUCUUUUAUAAAGGAAUAAAACGAGGCACGUGUGCCUUUUUGCAUGUACUUUAUGAAUAAGGAUCGGCUAACUCCGUGCCAGCAGCCGCGGUAAUACGGAGGAUCCGAGCGUUAUCCGGAUUUAUUGGGUUUAAAGGGAGCGUAGAUGGGUUGUUAAGUCAGUUGUGAAAGUUUGCGGCUCAACCGUAAAAUUGCAAUUGAUACUGGCAGUCGUGAGUACAGUUGAGGUAAGCGGAAUUCGUGGUGUAGCGGUGAAAUGCUUAGAUAUCACGAAGAACCCCGAUUGCGAAGGCAGCUUACUAAACUGUGACUGACAUUGAUGCUCGAAAGUGUGGGUAUCAAACAGGAUUAGAUACCCCAGUAGUC